AUGGCCACCAGGAUGGGCAUGCAGUCGGAGGAGAUAACCUGCACCGGCGUCGAUGAGGCGGAGCGAAGAACGGAGGCGAUGCCGGGAUGCGCCGGCUCGAUGCGCCUGGUGCGUCGUCCCUCCCGCAAAGGCCGCUUGGAGAUGUGCGCUCUUGGGGCAGGAGGGAGCAGCAGCGUCACAUGGGUAGCAGGGGCGGGCGGUGUCGCGAGGUGGAUGGUUCAGGGGACGUGGCGGCGCAAGCGCCGGGGCAGUGCAGAUUUCGGCGUGGCCGCACGGGUGCCGGGGCAAGCUCUAUCUCCUGGAUAUCGCAGGACCAAUGUCACGCUGUGA
rnacentral:rRNA from 1 species